GAUGAACGCUGGCGGCGUGCCUAAUACAUGCAAGUCGAGCGAACGGACGAGAAGCUUGCUUCUCUGAUGUUAGCGGCGGACGGGUGAGUAACACGUGGAUAACCUACCUAUAAGACUGGGAUAACUUCGGGAAACCGGAGCUAAUACCGGAUAAUAUUUUGAACCGCAUGGUUCAAAAGUGAAAGACGGUCUUGCUGUCACUUAUAGAUGGAUCCGCGCUGCAUUAGCUAGUUGGUAAGGUAACGGCUUACCAAGGCAACGAUGCAUAGCCGACCUGAGAGGGUGAUCGGCCACACUGGACCUGAGCCACGGUCCAGACUCCUACGGUAGGCAGCAGUAGGGAAUCUUCCGCGAAGGGCGAAAGCCUGACGGAGCAACGCCGCGUGAGUGAUGAAGGUCUUCGGAUCGUAAAACUCUGUUAUUAGGGAAGAACAUAUGUGUAAGUAACUGUGCACAUCUUGACGGUACCUAAUCAGAAAGCCACGGCUAACUACGUG
rnacentral:rRNA from 1 species